rnacentral:rRNA from 1 species
CAGUGUCAGGAGAACGGUCUGGAAAGUCCGGCAGUAAAGGGUGAUAGCCCCGUAUCUGAAGAUGCUGUUAUUGUGAACUCGACGAGUAGGGCGGGACACGUGUUAUCCUGUCUGAAUAUGGGGGGACCAUCCUCCAAGGCUAAAUACUCCUGAUUGACCGAUAGUGAACCAGUACCGUGAGGGAAAGGCGAAAAGAACCCCGGCGAGGGGAGUGAAAAAGAACCUGAAACCGUGUACGUACAAGCAGUAGGAGCCUCUUUAUGGGGUGACUGCGUACCUUUUGUAUAAUGGGUCAGCGACUUAUAUUCUGUAGCGAGGUUAACCGUAUAGGGGAGCCGUAGGGAAACCGAGUCUUAACUGGGCGAAUGAGUUGCAGGGUAUAGACCCGAAACCCGGUGAUCUAUCCAUGGGCAGGUUGAAGGUUGGGUAACACUAACUGGAGGACCGAACCGACUAAUGUUGAAAAAUUAGCGGAUGACUUGUGGAUGGGGGUGAAAGGCCAAUCAAACCGGGAGAUAGCUGGUUCUCCCCGAAAGCUAUUUAGGUAGCGCCUCGUGAA